CCUACGGGUGGCAGCAGUGAGGAAUAUUGGUCAAUGGGCGCGAGCCUGAACCAGCCAAGUAGCGUGAAGGAUGACUGCCCUACGGGUUGUACACUUCUUUUAUAAAGGAAUCAAGUGAGGCACGUGUGCCUUUUUAUAUGUACUUUAUGAAUAAGGAUCGGCUAACUCCGUGCCAGCACCCGCGGUAAUCCGGAGGAUCCGAGCGUUAUCCGGAUUUAUUGGGUUUAAAGGGAGAGUAGAUGGGUUGUUAAGUCAGUUGUGAAAGUUUGCGGCUCAACCGGAAAAUUGCAAUUGAUACUGGCAGCCUUGAGUACAUGUGAGGUAGGCGGAAUUCGUGGUGUAGCGGUGAAAUGCUUAGAUAUCACGAAGAACUCCGAUUGCGAAGGCAGCUUACUAAACUGCCACUGACAUUGAUGCUCGAAAGUGUGGGUAUCAAACAGGAUUAGAUACCCGGGUAGUC
rnacentral:rRNA from 1 species